rnacentral:rRNA from 1 species
GGGUUGUGAGGUUAAGCGACUAAGCGUACACGGUGGAUGCCCUGGCAGUCAGAGGCGAUGAAGGACGUGCUAAUCUGCGAUAAGCGUCGGUAAGGUGAUAUGAACCGUUAUAACCGGCGAUUUCCGAAUGGGGAAACCCAGUGUGAUUCGUUACACUAUCAUUAACUGAAUCC